rnacentral:lncRNA from 1 species
AUAUAUAAGGCCCAAAUAAAAAAAAAAUCAAAUCAAAAUAGUAACUAAAAGCAAAUCAAACACAAAAUAAAAUAAAAUAAAAAAAUAAUCAGACCACUCAACUACGUGCAUCUGCAGCACCGAGUCCACUAAUUUCACUUAGAGGCACCGACUCAUCGUCACGGUUGCCAAUCGCCAAAGCUGGAAUCGAAGGAAACAAGCAAACCCACGAGAAGAAAGCACACCCAUAAGAAAAAAGAAUAGACGGCGCGAUGGUGAGAGACAAUUACCAACUUUAGAGAAACGGCACCUGCCACACAUAGACUCUGUCGCAAAGAGCACACAACAAUCUCAAAAUAGAGACAACAAACAUGCAACACGCACAAACAAGCAACAAGCCCUUAAAAGCAAGAUUAGUCCACCGACUAAAGCAAACCGAGGAAGGAGACGUCAUAGAGCCCAAUCGAGAAGGCCGACGGGAGCGUGGACCACCGGACGUAUCAAUGCGAUUCUAAAAUAACGACAUCACGAACAGAGCGAUCCUUCCAUUGGAAGCUAGAACCAAAGCCCUGAGCAUAAGAUCCCCUCAGAGCAAACUCUCUCACAAAUCCAGCGCCAGAGAUCUAAAAAGAUAAAAGAACAAAACAAAAUCAAACCAAAAAAGAAAAACGCCAGCCCUUCCAUCCUUGGCGAGAGAGAACCAUGACAGAAUCAAAAUAAAACUUCUUGUCCCUACUCGAAAGCAAC